rnacentral:rRNA from 1 species
AUACGUAGGUGACAAGCGUUAUCCGGAUUUAUUGGGUUUAAAGGGUGCGUAGGCGGUUUGCUAAGCGGGAGGUGAAAUGCCGGCGCUCAACGUCGGAAGUGCCUCCCGAACUGGUGGACUGGAAUGACUCUGCCGUGGGAGGAAUGUGUAGUGUAGCGGUGAAAUGCUUAGAGAUUACACAGAACACCGAUUGCGAAGGCAUCUCACGAAGGGUUGAUUGACGCUGAGGCACGAAAGCGUGGGGAUCAAACAGGAUUAGAUACCCUGGUAGUCCACGCAGUAAACGAUGAUGGCUAACCGCUGGUUUAUUCGGAUCAGUGGCCAAGCGAAAGCGAUAAGCCAUCCGCCUGGGGAGUACGACCGCAAGGUUGAAACUUAAAGGAAUUGACGGGG